UUAGCCUACGAUGUUAGAAAAACAUCAUUUUUUUUUAGAUUGUCGCCUAGUUAAAUUAAACGAUUUCCUUAGUGAAGUAUUUGCAAGCUGCGGGUACAUACGAAAUUCAAUAACCUCACGAUGAUUUCAAUUACAGCUGCGAACGUUUUCGGUCGCCGUUGGCAACCACUUAUUCACCAUAGACGAUUUAAGAACAAGUAGUUCUGUGAAUAAUAUUAUGGCUACUUCGGAUGGAGCAACUGGACAACGUAUACGGUCCGGAACCGCCAUUACACCUUACCAUAUCACACGAGUAAACCUAUCACGAGCAUUUCUUUGCUUCUGGUGCCUAAGGAAAACCGUCUACAUGCCUGGCUGGAGUUCGUGUACAUACACAUUAUUAUUAUUGGCCUAUUAGGAAUAUAGCAGUUUGUUCUUGGUGUGACAUUUAUCACCACCGGUAGUGUGUGUUCUUGUUUCUGCUGCAAGAGAACAAUCGGGCAGAUUGCUGACAUAGUGAGUUAUGUGACGUGCAUAGAAAGAGGACAUUCACUUUUACGUUUUGCAGGACUCAGUCGUCCUAGGGACCAUCGAAUUCGUACGGAAUCGAAUCUCCGCUACCUCCUUCCGUCAUUUCACUAUUCAAAAAUGCACGUCUUCGUAAGGAACCAUAUUGUUAAGCUGUAUUGAAGUUCAAUGAAACUUUUGAAUCCGAUGUUCCAAGUCAAGGGGGUUAACAGCGGCCCUUCCCGUAUCGAACGUGCAGCUGUAAAGAGGACGGUGCUCAGGACUGUUUACUCAGCGCGCUAAGAAAAUAACGGACAGACGCUAGAAGGUUCCGACGAUAGGUAUUAGGAGUCGGCUGUUAUUGCUAAGGCCAGGCGGAACCUAGGAGAAGACAGGUUCAUUCGACAAAAUAGGCCUUAUUCAAGUAGUUUUUCUACUUUGAUGCAAAUCGAUAUUACGACUGUGGCCACCUCGCUUAGCAUUCAAAAACGCUAAAU
rnacentral:lncRNA from 1 species